AUAUGUAAAACCAGAAAAAAAACUGUUACGCUGACGAUUGUAGCUGUUAAUUUCAUCACGUUUUCCGUGCAUCACCCUAAAAAUCACGUUGAUCGUGCUAUGACGGAAGGCUCUCGCGACGUCUCAUGUAUAGGUUACUUUCAGCGUAAUUAUCUCUUUUGAAACGACCUCUUGUUAUUAUCAAGAUAUGCAAAUACAGAUUCUCCUAUAGUUCAGUUUCACGACGAGCUCAGAAGGAAUCCCAAACACUCCCACUACGUCCUUUGGAACUAUCCAAGGUGCUGACGUGGUGACGCUGUCACGAUGUGUAGUGUGCUGGCUGUAUGACAUUCUCCAAAUGAAUAAUUUCAGAGGAAAAACGGGAGGCAAACCGUACCGCAACAUGUUUGCUUAGUAUUCGUGUUGGGGAUUUGCGGUUUCGAACAAAGAAAAGUGGAAAGGGAGAAAUAACUAGAUUUUUAUAAGGAAAUCGUAGGCUUUUUUAUAAUAGGGCAUUUUUUAUCUUUGCAUAAUUUAUUGCUCCGUCUUGAGCGCAUGGAAAGGAUGGAUACCAUGGAGUCCAUGGAGCCGAUUUCUGCCAACUACACCACGGCGUACCCGGAGAUCCAUCCUGAUAACGCAUCCGGAUCUGAGGAGGCGGCUCUUUCAUACGACGAAGAAUUAUUGCACAAGACAAUCCUGGUUGGGGACAGUGGAGUGGGAAAGACAUCCCUUCUGGUCCAGUUUGACCAGGGCAAAUUCAUCCCUGGAUCCUUCUCAGCUACCGUGGGCAUCGGCUUCACAAACAAGGUGGUGACUGUAGACAAUUUGAAGGUGAAAUUACAGAUUUGGGACACAGCAGGGCAGGAGCGGUUCAGGAGUGUGACUCAUGCCUACUACAGGGACGCUCAGGCCUUACUCCUUUUAUAUGACAUCACCAGCAAGUCUUCCUUUGACAACAUACGGGCGUGGCUUACAGAGAUCCAUGAGUAUGCACAGCGGGAUGUCGUAAUCAUGUUGCUGGGAAACAAGGCAGACAUGGCCAAUGACAGAGUAAUCAAGAGAGACGAUGGGGAGAAGCUAGCCAGGGAGUAUUCUGUUCCGUUUAUGGAGACCAGUGCCAAGACGGGGGUCAACGUUGACCUGGCUUUCACUGCAGUUGCAAAGGAACUGAAGCAUAGAGCCGUCCAUGGCCAGCAACCCAACGAACCCAAGUUCCAGAUCCAUGAGUAUAUUGAGUGUCGGAAGGAAAACACAGCCUGUUGCAGCUAGUUGUGAUACCUCUGGCCUGCUCUUCCCUCUGAUGUUAUAACCCCCCCGCUCAGGUACAGCCUGUUGCAGCUAGUUGUGAUACCUCUGGCCUGCUCUUCCCUCUGAUGUUAUAACCCCCCCGCUCAGGUACAGCCUGUUGCAGCUAGUUGUGAUACCUCUGGCCUGCUCUUCCCUCUGAUGUUAUAACCCCCCCGCUCAGGUACAGCCUGUUGCAGCUAGUGGUGAUACCUCUGGCCUGCUCUUCCCUCUGAUGUUAUAACCCCCCCCCCCGCUCAGGUACAGCCUGUUGCAGCUAGUGGUGAUACCUCUGGCCUGCUCUUCCCUCUGAUGUUAUAACCCCCCCGCUCAGGUACAGCCUGUUGCAGCUAGUUGUGAUACCUCUGGCCUGCUCUCCCCUCUGAUGUUAUAACCCCCCCCCCGCUCAGGUACAGCCUGUUGCAGCUAGUGGUGAUACCUCUGGCCUGCUCUUCCCUCUGAUGUUAUAACCCCCCCGCUCAGGUACAGCCUGUUGCAGCUAGUGGUGAUACCUCUGGCCUGCUCUUCCCUCUGAUGUUAUAACCCCCCCCCGCUCAGGUACAGCCUGUUGCAGCUAGUUGUGAUACCUCUGGCCUGCUCUUCCCUCUGAUGUUAUAACCCCCCCCCGCUCAGGUACAGCCUGUUGCAGCUAGUUGUGAUACCUCUGGCCUGCUCUUCCCUCUGAUGUUAUAACCCCCCCGCUCAGGUACAGCCUGUUGCAGCUAGUUGUGAUACCUCUGGCCUGCUCUCCCCUCUGAUGUUAUAACCCCCUCAGUUCUACACCAUGAGGACCUUACAGGGAGAAAAGCAUUUCAACUGAUCAGUCGUUCAGUAUUGGAGGAAAAUGGUUGAAUUGGCUUUUGGAGGUUUUUGUGUAUAUUUUCUUUAUAUAAGUAAAUCACAUAGAAGAUUUUCCCUGUUUACAAGAGAAGCCUGUUUGAAGACUUGUUUCCCCAGAGGCCAAAUACUAUGUGUUGUUUCACAAGAUGGAGAUUGUAGGUGUUGGUUUGGCCGGCAGUGCCACAUAUCAUAUUUGAAAGGCAUGAAUUGUUUUUUUACAUGUGAUAAAAUGUAUGUACAAGCAUGUUUUUAGUUCACAUUCUAACUUCAGUUUUGUAAUUAUUUUCCAAUACUUAGAAUCAUGUUUUUUUAAAUCUUUUAUCAGACAAAAAAAAAACAUGACCAGACGAAGUGAGAUUCAACUUCACUGUUAUUGCACAGUACAUGUACUAGGAAAUAUAGUUCAGCAUCACCCAAAUAGUACAAAUAGAAGUGCAGCAGCCCUCAAAUAAAAAACAUUUAACUUGAGAAAAGAAUUUGUUCCAGUGUUGGUUGUGGACUUUUUGUCAAACAGGAGCAAAUGGAGAGGAACAUACCAGAUGUUUUUCUAAUAUAAAUCCUGUUUGACCAAAUGGACUCCCUCCCUUUUUCCUUCUUUUUGCUUUUUUUGGUGAAAUGUUUUGCAACAUAAUGGUUUGUUCUUCUGAACAAAUACACCACAGGUUUAUAUUUCAGUUCAACCAAACUCAAACUCCUUUGGCUAUGUGCUGUCACCUAACAAAGCCAUAAUGUUGUGCAUCUGAUCUUAUUUCAGGCUGUCAAUUUGAAUAUGAACACAAGUAUUUUAUAAAGGAUAUCUUAUUGUUAUUUACUUUUUAUAAUGCCAAUUGUUUAUGUAUAUUUGAUGUAGGCUGCAAAAAAAAGUAUAUUUUUUAUCAUGUUUGGUAUUUGUACUACACUUUAAAUGUUGCGUGUGUGUGUGUGUGUUUGGUGCAAAUGUGUGCAAGUGUGUGUCUAUUCAAUAUUUGAUUCAUGAUAAUGAAAAGUUUGACUGUAUAACAAUAUAUUUAAAAAUGUGAUAUUUUCUUUACCAAGAUGCAAUGUCAGAUGGUGGAGAGACCCUUCUACAUGACAUUAUUAUUGUAGUUAUAUUGGGAAUGAUGACCAACUGUAUUCUGGAGCAGUAGCCUACCACAUAAUAUAUGACAUUAUUAUUGUAGUUAUAUUGGGAAUGAUGACAACUGUAUUCUGGAGCAGUAGCCUACCACAUAAUAUAUGACAUUAUUAUUGUAGUUAUAUUGGAAAUGAUGACAACUGUGUUCUGGAGCAGUAGCCUACCACACAAUAUAUGACAUUAUUAUUUUAGUUAUGUUGGGAAUGAUGACUAACUGUGUUCUGGAGCAGUAGCCUACCACAUAAUAUAUGACAUUGUCUUCUUUUGCAUAGAAUGAUGUAAUUGCUAGAUAUAAAAUGCAAUAAUCAUUAUAUUUUUUGUAAUUUAUUGAUCUAAAAUAUUUAGGAUUAUACUGGAUAAUACUGGAUUACAUAUAACCUUAUAUUUAUACCCAGCUUAGUUUAUGGAACAGUCAGGUUUGGUUUCCUAAGGGUGGAUAGAAAUAAUGUAUUUUUUUUAAUAACAGUUUAAUUUUAGGGCUAAAUAUUUUAAAUAUUGGGUCUUUUAAAACUGCCUCUUUGUAAACUUUGAAUGAGGUUUCAGUGUUAGGCCAUAUUUCCAUUGUUUUAAAAAUGUGUGUUUUUGUUUUAUUUAUUUUUCUUUCUGUUAGAACAA